GAUCCUGGCUCAGGAUGAACGCUAGCUACAGGCUUAACACAUGCAAGUCGAGGGGCAGCAUUUUAGUUUGCUUGCGAACUAAAGAUGGCGACCGGCGCACGGGUGAGUAACACGUAUCCAACCUGCCGAUAACUCGGGGGAUAGCCUUUCGAAAGAAAGAUUAAUAUCCGAUGGUAUAUUAAAACCGCAUGGUUUUACUAUUAAAGAAUUUCGGUUAUCGAUGGGGAUGCGUUCCAUUAGUUUGUUGGCGGGGUAACGG
rnacentral:rRNA from 1 species